rnacentral:lncRNA from 1 species
UCUCUACCUUAUCAACUGUUGUGUAAUUGAAUUUAAAAAUGUUUGGGAUAGUGAAGAACAUGUGCCAGAGGAGAGAUAAACUACUUAAAACGUCUUCUGUAGCACUCUAAGGUCUGCCACUUGAAACCAAGGCAGUGUACCAACUGUAGGUAUUUCCUUAGUUCAGAUCAAGUGUGAUAGUCACUGUGAGUUGAAGACACCUCAGCCUUUCCUACAAAACCCACUAACAGUUCCCAACCCCGCUGGAGUGGGGCUGGCAUAAAGAUCCAGACAUGACUCUGAGCAAUUUGCCACUUUUUGCUUUCUUGAGUUGCAGCAUUACUACUAUUUCCUUGUUUUCUACCUCCCCAGUAUAUUUUUCAAUAUACCUGUGACUCUUCAAACUGCUGAUUAUUCCUUUCUCACAUGACUUACGUGUCAGACUCUCCUACUUCUGCCCUGAAACAGAGAUGUGCAGGGUGUAUAAUAUGAACUGAUGAUUUUUGCUAAAACUAGACUAUAUUCAGUGUACCAUUAUUGAUGCUACAUAGCCUUUGGGUCCAAGUGCCAAACCUUAUUUUUGGCUUAAUUUCAAGGACAAAUGACAAAUUUAAGCUUUGAACAGUGAAGUGAGUAAUCCUCUCUCUGCUUUCUGCUGAGACAUCUUUUGUAUGGCCCAGGUGACCCACAGAUCUGGAACACAAAUUAACAUUACCUAUUGUGAAAUGAAAAAUGCAGCUUUCUCUACUGUACCUGUCCACAGUAGACAGAAGGCAUGCAAAUAUGAAUGUCCUCAGUGUUGUGGGUAGCCAUUUCCUCAUGCACUGUUCCACUUUCAAAUUAGAGCUUUUUCUCUAAAUCAUCUAGUUGCUUUCUGCUCACCAACAAGGUCAUAAUGAGCAACCAUAAAAACAAACUCACUGAUAGCAUCUGGUCAUCCUUUUGCACAGCUUGUAGAUAGUUCUCUCCCUGAGAGCAGUCAUAGUUUAAGGUCAGAACCUUCUCCUGAAAUGGAUUUCAUUACCAACACUUCCUACAAAAUCCUUACAAUUCUCAGAAGCUGUUCUAGCCAGUACCAACCCUCACAGACCAACAGUUUUAUUCUCUGAAAAACAAAUGCAAUCACAUAAUGCUCUUCACACAGCUUAUACUAAAAAUAUACAGUCAAAAAAACUCCUCAUCCACAUCUUCUAGGGGCUUGAACAGUAGUCCAGAGCAGAGAGGAUUGCAUUCCUUCUGUUCUCCUACAUUUACGCACAACAUUUGCUUAAAUUCCUCCGGCAUGUUUACUAAAAAAGAGGCAACGUUUAAGGAAGCUCCUAAAGUCCUUGCCCACGGUGAGUAUCUUCUGACUCACAAAUAAAUUCCACUCAAGUUUUCUGGGUUUACUCACAAAGGAUGAUAGAGGCCAAUGUGUGCAAAGCUGCACAGAGACUUUCACCUCAGAUCUGCUUGUCAGAAAUCACCAGUGCUCUUGCAGCAACAUGACUUUUGUCAGCAGAGAUCGCACAGAACAAGGGCCUGAUUCUUAUUUCCAACAACGAUUUAAAGCUGUGAUCCUGCCACAUCUCCUAUUUAUAAGGCCCCUUCCAUCUGCCUCAAGCCCUGAAGAGGCUAAUUCUGCAUCUCUCUCUCACGCAAAACUCCCACAGAGGUGGCUGAAGGACAGCAGCACUGAGUUCCCAUCCCAGCUAAGUUACACUGUUCGAUAUUUCAAUACCCAACCAACAAUAGCACCAUGUGGAAAAUUGAAAAUGAAACAUCAACAUCUCGCUUAUGACUGACAGAAGUUUUUCUUCAUGGUGAAAUGAGCAAAUGAAGUGUUAAAGAUCAAGUACUUGUUAAAAUCGAUAUGGCUUAGUAGCAAUAUUUCACUUUUCCACAACAGUAGAGAGUGAAUGUUUCAAGUGGUUUAUCAUAUCUGAUCAAAGAAACAACUCAGCACAUUUUAUAUAUCUUCUCCCUUUUUCUUAAGCCAAAGCUGCAGAGACUAUUUUUCUCCUGUAUACACUAUUAGCCAGCUUACAGUUGAAGCACAACCACAGUGUGAGUAGCAGAGCUGAAAACUUUUUAUGGAAAGUUAACACCACACAGUAUGUUACAAAUUCCAGUCUUCAGCUAUUACAAGUAAUAAGAGACCACUGUAUUUAAAAAAGUAAAUCAGCCCCAUUUUACUUGAAGCAUAUGCAGUAGUUACAUUAAAAACAAUUUUAUAGAAAUCCUUUGUAUUCACUAAUUUAGAGGGAAAUGCACUUAAAAGGGGUGUAAACUGCACAUCUUUAUUAAUGAAUAUUACUUUUUAUUUAGCUCAGAAGAAAUAAGACUCUCUUGAGGCAUUGAAUCAGAUGAGUAACUGUAAUGAGAAAAAUUAAAACCAUAGAAAUACCCUGGUUUUAGCUAUGUUGCUGAUCAUAGAUAUUAAGUAUCUGCAUCAAUCCCUUUAAACCUUUCGGAACUGAAAAAAAAAAAAAAUUGAAGCAUUAUUUCUUUAAUGUUUAUAAUGACCACAGAAUACUUUUACUGCAAAGAACUUACUUUUAAGGCACAUCAGUCAUUCCAUAUAUAUUUUAUGCCCACUAAAAUCUGACUGUCAGAAUUUCAUUUCCAUAGACUACUUGAAUUCUACAGGGAAAACAAAGGGGGAAGGACUGUGUUUACAGGUAACAGAGCUCAUUUCAAAAGCAGCACAACAGUGAAACCACUGUGAGUCUGCAGACUGGGAAACCCCUCUAAGGGAGCAUGAAGUGACAAAAGCAGACCUUCACUUGGCAGGGAUGGGUACCUCUAAUGAAGCUGUCCAGGAGCUCAGAGGUAGUAGCCAGGUACCAUAUGGUGCUUUGGUUGUUCUUGUGGUUAUAUAGUUUCUUCAGAGUAAACAAACCUGAGCUUUUUAGCUACAUUGGUACCUAAUAAUAAUAAGAGCUAGUUUCAGCUUUUCUUGAUGUAACUUUAAUAAGAGCUCUCCAUUUUGCAGAAGAGAAAUGGCUUGUAAUUUUCUCCUCUCAGUUGCUAUUUUUAUUUCUCCUUUAUCUGUCUCACGUAUGCAUUUGUACCAGACCAUUUGUUAUUUAAACAAAGCUCAAAUCUUUUCACACUCUGAGCCUUAUUUCAAGAUAGCAUCCAAUACAUUACAGAUUUAGGACUUUGAAAUUAUUUCAGUUUACUUAGUGAAAUCCAGCAAAGUUCUAAUGCCUUUGGUUCAAUCUAAUCCCUACUUCAGCAGAACUCUCACCUGAAUUUGACUUAGUCUAUUGAAGGAACAACCAGAACCUCAGCCACAAACAGUCUCCUUUUCCAGGGUUAAGAGAACCAAAUGCUUACUAUGAAAAACUAAUGAAACAAAGUGACUGCUCUAUCCCUUUUCCUCAUGCCACACAGAAUUCACAAGAAGAGGAUACAGACACCUUUCAGACAGAACAGAGGGACUAAGGAAGGGGGUUUCUGAUGGUUCCUUAAUAUAGAUUCAAUUCAGCUGUUUAAAGAAGUCUGUUAUAUGUGAUUAGAUUUCACUCUUUUCCCAAGAACUGUUUGCUAUGGAAAGGUGCAUUUGAGGCAGGUGCCAAAUCCUGCUGUCUAUGGAAGGAGUGAUAAACAUAGAAAGGAGCAGUAUUUGCGGCAUAAACAGAAUAUACACCUUGCAGCAGCACAGAUGAAGAAAGGAUGUAAAUGCUCAGCUCACUCUUACACUUGGUAUGCACUCAGUGGUGAAUGUACAGACACCAGUCCCUUUCUCUCAUUUUGUUCAUUGCACUUUAUGACAUUUUAUAAACCCAUGGGAAAUAUGGUUUGAUUCAUAACUUUUCAAACUAUUCUCCCCUCUUCUGCCUCUCUUCCCAGGAAAUGCUCUAAAAUCAUAAACUAGAAAAGCAAACACAAGAAGGGAAAGCAAGCAACAUUAACACCAAAGGUUUGGAACAGCUGCACCUCCUUUUGAGAUUUGUUCACAUACACCACUGACAAUCUGCAAUGUAUGCUUCUCAUUAAAAAAUAAAUAUAAAGGAUUUAGUUGAUCUAAGACUGUAAAUAUGAAGGAUUUAAAGACUUUAGUAGUGGGGUGAUUGCUCUUCAUCUGAAAACCUGCAUAUCAGAAUGCCUUCAGCCGCCUGCCUGAGAAUGAGGAGUAUGCAUUCAGCCCUGAGAUUAGCGUUUGAAAGGAGACUGAAAAAAAGGGAAGGAAAAGUUCCCCUGGGCACAUAGAAGUGGAAACUUGAUUUUUAAAAAAUUUUAUCUCAAAAAACGUUAGGCAAGUUCACCAGAAUGAUUUUUUUUUUUCACUAUCUGCUCCAGGACAGCAAGGUCCUUAGGUCACUGAUCUGAGAAGGAUGGAGUGGGAAUUUACUGCCUGGUGAUCCAGCAGGAGGAAAUGAGGUCAUGGGGUAUAUAUAUUCUUUUUCAUAUUUCAUUAAAAAAUGCAAGAUUCCCAGGUUUGUCUCACUGACUAAUCAAAAACUAUGGGAAAAUAGGAAAAAUAUUUCCCAUCCAGAUCUAUAGGCAAAGACCCCUCCAAGGAAAAAGAAAACCCCUUGCUUUGUUUGACUUAAUCCCUUGAGCAAAAUCAUGAUUCAGAAGGUUUUAACAGUACAAAGGUUUAUUUAGAAAAGAGUUUGGAUUGUUCUUUAGGGUUUUUUUUUGGCAAACAUUUAAAUCCUUUCAUAACUGAAACCACUGUCAGUGCCUGGUACUUUGCACUCUCCUUCCCCACACGAGAAGUAAAAACCAAUUUCUUACUGGGACAAAUACACCAUAGGCCCCAGCUGCCCUAUUUAUAUAAACUCAAAUCUCCACCACCACUGCCACUUAACCCUCGCCUUCUGAUGUCUCUUUUUGUUUCCCCACAAAAUUC